rnacentral:rRNA from 1 species
AUUGAACGCUGGCGGCAGGCCUAACACAUGCAAGUCGUGCGAGCGGCGGACGGGUGAGUAAUGUUUGGGGAUCUGCCUGAUGGCGGGGGAUAACUACUGGACACGGUAGCUAAUACCGCAUACCAUCACAUGAACCCAUAUGGGAUUAGCUAGUAGGUGGGGUAACGGCGUACCUAGGCGACGAUUCCUAGCUGGUCUGAGAGGAUGAUCAUGCACACUGGGACUGAGGGACGGCGCCGACUCUGACGGGAGGCAGCAGUGGGGAAUAUUGGACAAGGGGUGGAAGCCUGAUGCAGCCAUGCCGCGUGUAUGAAGGAGGGCUUCUGGUUGUAAAGUACUUUCAGUCGGGAGGCGUUACCGACAGAAGAAGCAACGGCUAACUCCGUGACAGGAGCCGCGGUAAUAC